rnacentral:rRNA from 1 species
CCCUUAGAUGUCCUGGGCAGCACGCGUACUACAAUGAUGCAUUCAACGAGUCUUGCCUUAACCGAAAGGUUCGGGUAAACUUUUGAAAUUGCAUCUUGUCGGGGCUUGAUCAUUGUAAUUUUUGAUCACAAACAAGGAAUUCCUUGUAAAUGUGAGUCAUCAACUUGCAUUGAAUACGUCCCUGCCCUUUGUACACACCGCCCGUCGCUUCUACCGAUGAAUGAUCCGGUGAACACUCUGGACUUGUUGUCUGUCGGAGCAAUCCAAAGACGAUAGGGAAGUUGUGUAAACCUUAUCAUUUAGAGGAAGAAGAAGUCGUAACA